CAAGCAAACAGCAUCCCUGCCAUCAUGAGGAAGGACAAUGACUAAACAAACACUGACAUACAAUGCAACGUCAGAUAACGUUCGACAUGACGUGUGUCAGGUGCACGUGAAGCAAGGGUCAUCGACAUCUGUGCGUUUGUGUCUGCACACGUGUUCAAGCCCACGCCCGCUUCCCCCGGGGUGCCCCUGUGAUAUGCUCUGGCCAGAGCGUGCUCCCGGCAGCCACUGUACCUUUAGCCUGGGCCCCAGAGUGGGACGUGUGGAAGAGACCUGGAUCCAGCCUGGUCCACUUGAACUCAUUCUAGAUCAGCAGAACCGAGGUUGAU